rnacentral:lncRNA from 1 species
GCAGCGAAAUUAGAGACACACGGUGCCCCAGUAUGUCGAUUUUUUUCACUUGAAGAGUUGAAGGAAGCAACAAACGACUUUGAUUUCUCAAUGUUUUUGUCUGAAGGCUCUAUUGGAAAGGUAACCAACAUACUCAAUUAUGAUUCAGAAAUAUAUAAUGUUUUGCCUGAAAACUUCAAUUCCGAUUACACAUUUCAAAAUUCAUGACUAACUUGUAGAGCUAGAGUUAAUGAGCAAUGACAAAGGGAAUCAACAUUGGAAUUCUUUCAUGAUGACUUAAUCUCUCCAAAUUAUUUCUUAUCUAUUCCCUUUAUCUCAAUCUUCAAUCUUUUGCAAGUGUCCCAAACAUAUAAUGCUAGGAGUUAUAAUUAUAAUAACAACAGUCAUGUAUCACUUUAGGGUGUGAUUAUUCUUUGUGUUUACUCUUGGAUUUAUAAUUUGGGGCUUUGUUCAAUACUCUUGUGUUUAUUCUCAUUAGUUUGUAGCUUGGUUGGCAGUCUCUUUAUUUAAGUUCACUAUAGUUCAGUUUAUGGUAGAUGUGUAACAUGCUGGAAGGCUUGAUAAUCUCUGCAGCAAAAGAAUUUGUUUUCUCAGGAAGGCUUGAUAAUCUCUGCAUGCUCAACCAAGUCUAGUAGCAAGUGCAGCAAAAGAACAUUUUGAUUUCUUCCUCUGUCAAGAUUAUAUUGUAGACGAAGCAUAUUCUAUUAUGUGGAACUUCCAGAGACAGCUAUGAGGAAGUAUGGAAAUUGUAUGGCUGAUCAUACAUUCAUUGAAGUACCUAAUUGUGGAAAGCCAUGGCAAGUCGAACUGAGAACAUCAGCUCCGUUGGGUUUACUUAGAGUUUAGUAGUUUUUGGGAGAGAAUUGGGGUUUGUUUAUGUAUUGCUGGAUAUGUGAACCUUAGAGUUGUUUAAUGAAAAAGGUUAUGACAUUUUGAUUAUUAUCUGGUCUUGU